rnacentral:rRNA from 1 species
GAUGAACGCUGGCGGCGUGCCUAACACAUGCAAGUCGAACGGAGUCCAGCCUUUAAGACCUUCGGGUCAAAGAGGGGAAGACUGAGUGGCGGACGGGUGAGUAACACGUGGGCAACCUGGCUCAUAGAGGGGGAUAACAGAGAGAAAUUUCUGCUAAUACCGCAUAAGCACACACUGCCGCAUGGCAGAGGGUGAAAAGAGAAUCGCUAUGAGAUGGACCCGCGUCUGAUUAGCCAGUUGGCAGGGUAAGAGCCUACCAAAGCGACGAUCAGUAGCCGAUCUGAGAGGAUGAACGGCCACAUUGGGACUGAGACACGGCCCAAACUCCUACGGGAGGCAGCAGUGGGGGAUAUUGCACAAUGGGGGGAACCCUGAUGCAGCGACGCCGCAUGAGUGAAGAAGUAUUUCGGUAUGUAAAGCUCUAUCAGCAGGGAAGAUAAUGACAGUACCUGAAUAAGAAGCCCCGGCUAACUACGUG